GUAGGAGCGAGGCUUGCCCGCGAUGGCGAUCGUCAGGCCGAAAACGUACUCCUUGAGGACGCUAUCGCGGGCAAGCCUCGCUCCUAC
rnacentral:misc_RNA from 1 species